GCAUCAGUGGUCUAACGGUUAUGAUCCGGUCUUCCCAUGAAAAGUUUGUGGCCGGGAAAGGGGUUCGACUCCCCUCUGAUGCA
rnacentral:tRNA from 2 species